GCCCAAAUUUGGAGGAAGUGCUCUAUUCGACUAGAGGAACAAGUCUACGGUGGCUGAUUUCGUUUUUAACGGCCAAAUCCUCAGAUUUGUGAUGCAGAUAUCACUCCUGAGGAUCCACAGAUGGGACAAGGAGGACUUCAGGAUGCCCCUGGAGCGGUUUAGUGGAAAGGUUUUAUUUUUUUAUUGUGUUGUGGUAUUGAGACCUUGUAAUAAGUGAAUUAUGGAUAAUGUAAUAAGACCUUAGUUUGAUUAAGGGGAUUUUUAUGAAAUUUUAUUUUGGGAUGCAAUGAUGUUUAUUAAAUCUUGAUGUGUUUAAGUAAGGUUUAAAAUAUUGUUAGUUGGUGAGAACCCUAGUGGGACUUAUAUGAAAAAAAAAAAAA